GAAACUGGUGCUAAUACCGAAUGGUCUUCAUUUCUGUUAGGGAGAUGGAGUAAAGGUGGCCUCUUCAUGAAAGCUACCGUGUAGGGAUGAGCCUGCGUACCAUUAGCUAGUAGGUGGGGUAACGGCCCACCUAGGCGACGAUGGUUAGCGGGUCUGAGAGGAUGAUCCGCCACACUGGAACUGGAACACGGACCAGACUCCUACGGGAGGCAGCAGUGAGGAAUAUUGCGCAAUGGGGGAAACCCUGACGCAGCGACGGCGCGUGAGCGAGGAAGGUCUUCGGAUCGUAAAGCUCUGUCAGAAGGGAAGAAGUGUUAUGUAGUUAAUACCUGCAUAAUUUGACGGUACCUUCAGAGGAAGCACCGGCUAACUCCGUGCCAGCAGCCGCGGUAAUACGGAGGGUGCGAGCGUUGUUCGGAAUUACUGGGCGUAAAGGGCGCGUAGGCGGCCGGAUAUGUCAGGUGUGAAAGUCCACGGCUCAACCGUGGAAGUGCAUUUGAAACUGUCCGGCUUGAGUAUCGGAGGGGAGUGUGGAAUUCCCGGUGUAGAGGUGAAAUUCGUA
rnacentral:rRNA from 1 species